UGUCGUUAACUAUUCUGAUUUAAAAAUAUUUAUUAAUUAAAAUCUUUUACUUGAAAAAUAAAAUCUACUUUUAAAAUAAACUCAUCAUUAAUACCAUGAUUCCAAUAUUGUAAGCCAGACGCGUAUUUCGUCUUCAAACGACUCACCAAGAACGUCGGCUAAAAGAAUUUAAAAAAAGGAAUAAAAAAAAAGCACAUUGAGGACGCAGAAUUCCGAAGGAGUCUGCCUUUACAGCAAAGGCUAUCUAUUCUUCUUUUUAUUUCUUUUUAUUAAGUACCAAGUUGAAGCGCAUGGAUGACCUUAAACUCCGAAAGGAUUUGGCUAAUGUAGUUAAGGUAAUCUAUGUUUUGGAUAGAAAAAUCCAUAUAAAAUUAUAUAAUAGUUUUCGUGGUCCUCUCGAUUUUUUUACAUUUUAGAUUUUAACAUCGAGUUCAUUGAAAUGAACUGGGAAAACAUCAAUCGACUUUUUUUUUCUGAACCGCGGGCUUUAAAUGUCAGGACUACAAAUCAUACGCCCAACUUCAUUAGAAACGGAAUGCAAAUCCAUUAUUACAUCAGAUAAUCGAAAAUUUUCAACAAAGACAACGGAACUAACUAAUAAUGACAGGUACAAAUUUAGAAAGAACAUGUCUUCUCUCUAAAAAAAACUUGAACAAUUGCAACAAAAAAAAAAAAAAAUAAUAAAAAAAAAAAAAAAAAUUGGUCGUUGGCCCAGACGGAC
rnacentral:lncRNA from 1 species